CCUACGGGUGGCAGCAGUGGGGGAUAUUGCACAAUGGGGGAAACCCUGAUGCAGCGACGCCGCGUGUGGGAAGACGGUCCUCUGGAUUGUAAACCACUGUCCCCAGGGACGAAGAUGACGGUACCUGGGGAGGAAGCUCCGUCUAACUACGUGCCAGCAGGCGCGGUAAUACGUAGGGGGCGCGCGUUGUCAGGAAUUACUGGGUGUAAGGGGAGCGUAGGCGGGGAUGCAAGUUGGGGGUAAAAACUACCGGCUCAACUGGUAGUCGAACUCAAAACUGCAGCUCUUGAGUGAAGUAGAGGCAGGCGGAAUUCGUAGUGUAGCGGUGAAAUGCGUAGAUAUUAGGAGGAACCCCAGUGGCGAAGGCGGCCUGCUGGGCUUUUACUGACGCUGAGGCUCGAAAGUGUGGGGAGCAAACAGGAUUAGAUACCCUAGUAGUC
rnacentral:rRNA from 1 species